AUAGUAGAUACUUCGAUUUUCCGGUCGCGCGAGAUUUUUUUUGGUUACCGGAACCGGUAGUAUUCGUGCGGCAGUAUUUAAGCCGAAAGCAGUGGUAAUUUCGUUCCAGUCUGGUUUUGUCUUCAAAAUCAGACACCAAAGGAUAAUCGGAGCCCUUUGUUUGUUCAAGGAUCGGAUAUCAGUUAAUUCUUUGGAUUUAUAUCAGUGCUUUUCUAUCGUCUUCAUGGAGUUCCAGCGUGUUGAGCAUAGGGGUAAGUUGACCAUCCAUAGUUUUUUUAUUAUUCUAAUAAGCAUAGUUAUUUAAGUCAUCCCAAGUACCUUAAUAUCUAAUCUAACUAUUUUUGUUCAUAUUAUCGCAAUAAGUGUUCCACUUUUUUAGUAAAAACGGACCCACUGCAUCAGGUAUCUUGGCUAGAAAACGAAACUAGCCGCCAUUACUAACCGGAAAUGAUAGAUUCAAUGGUUAUCAAUGGCUGCAUAGCUUUUUUGUUAGAUCGAUUUUUUUAAAAUCCAUCAUCAAGAACAGUUUUAUUUAGUCAUCCGUGAUUUUGAAUAUAAUGUGGGCGUGGCAGGCCUUGAUGUCGAUGUUGUUGACAAUAAGUUUUGAAGGCAUAUGUCCGAGGUGAAGAACUUUUGUAGGAAGAUUACCCGCAGCUGGCACCUAUUUGCACCUUACUUGGAUAAAAAAAUUUCUAUCGAUGCUGCUGGCAAAAAGACACCUAUCCAAGACAGCACUGAACGACCUAGUAUGGUGAAGAAGUUGCGACCUGAAGGUGAUGUUGAGGCUACUGAAAGGCAGGUAACACAGAACAACACUGUGCUUGUUGUUGCAGAAAAGCGGUUAGUCUUUUAAGGGCUUUUUGGCAAGAUGUUGACUGGACCGUGGAUGACACUGAUCUACAAAAUGAAAGAUGAAACAUUUUAAAGAUACCAUUUAUGCAGCUAUUAUAUUUAUUCUCUUGUUUUCUAGAUCUCUCAUGUGAAAGUCUGCAUUGACAAACUAAAGGCCAUUGUGGAUUCUCCAGAGAAUCUCCUUUCAAUACUAAUUGAUUGCUUUGGCCAGACUCUGGAUACUGAAGAUCUCGUUCUGAAAACCCUGAGAAAUGUGACUGUUGAUGAAGUAUUUAUCGAGAUCACUAAAGAACUUGCUGAAGGUUUUUGUAAGGUGCUACAGAGACAGUACUUCAAUUGAUAAUUUCCAACUACAAACAAAUCCAUUAUGUGCUUACCCAUCAAAUAGUUAGAUAUAUUUUAUUUUAAGGGAACAUGUUGCAUAUCUGGGAUAUUUAUUUAAUGUGAAAAAUAUAAUUUCACAAUCCAGCUGAUAAUUGUGCUAUGAACCAUUUAUAUUAAGUCUUGAUAAUUUUACCUUUUCAGCAAGCCUACAUUGGUAUGCAUUAAAAUUAUUUAUUCUAUUUCAGCAAAACAGAUAGGGUACACCCAAACAAUGUUCAUCUUCAAACAAUCAUGCAUGAUCCUCGCAAGCUUUGGAUACUGACGUACAUUUGCAAACGCACUCAGACUGAUGACAUCAAGAAAUCUAUAUUUGUUAUUUACAUUAUAU